ACCUCGGUAGUGUAGUGGUAGCACGCGUCCCCGGUAUGAAUGAAACGCGGGUUUGGCUCCCGUCUGAGGUC